UACGAAGGGGGCUAGCGUUGCUCGGAAUCACUGGGCGUAAAGGGUGCGUAGGCGGGUCUUUUAAGUCAGGGGUGAAAUCCUGGAGCUCAACUCCAGAACUGCCUUUGAUACUGAAGAUCUUGAGUUCGGGAGAGGUUGAGUGGAACUGCGAGUGUAGAGGUGAAAUUCGUAGAUAUUCGCAAGAACACCAGUGGCGAAGGCGGCUCACUGGCCCGAUACUGACGCUGAGGCACGAAAGCGUGGGGAGCAAACAGG
rnacentral:rRNA from 1 species